AAGUCGUAACAAGGUCUCCGUAGGUGAACCUGCGGAGGGAUCAUUACAGAGUUCAUGCCCUUACGGGUAGAUCUCCCACCCUGUGUUAUUAUUACUUUGUUGCUUUGGCGGGCUCGCCCGUCAGAAGACUUCUCAAACUCAUUAUAAACGUGUCAUCUGAAUAACUAAAAAAUAAAAUUAAAACUUUCAACAACGGAUCUCUUGGUUCUG
rnacentral:misc_RNA from 1 species